UAUUGGUCAACGGUCGGGAGACUGAACCAGCCAAGCCGCGUGAGGGAUGAAGGUGCAGAGUAUCGUAAACCUCUUUUGUCAGGGAACAAAGGCGGGGACGCGUCCCCGGAUGAGUGUACCUGAAGAAAAAGCAUCGGCUAACUCCCUGCCAGCAGCCGCGGUAAUACGGAGGAUGCGAGCGUUAUCCGGAUUUAUUGGGUUUAAGGGGGGCGCAGGCGGUCUGUUAAGUCAGCGGUCAAAGCCCGGGGCUCAACCCGGGCCCGCCGUUGAAACUGGCAGUCUCGAGUUGGAGAGAAGUAUGCGGAAUGCGCGGUGUAGCGGUGAAAUGCAUAGAUAUCGCGCAGAACUCCGACUGCGAAGGCAGCAUGCCGGCUCCACACUGACGCUGAGGCACGAAAGCGUGGGUAUCG
rnacentral:rRNA from 1 species